UGAUGGGAAUUUAAACCUCUUCCAGAGUAUCAAUUGGAGGGCAAGUCUGGUGCCAGCAGCCGCGGUAAUUCCAGCUCCAAUAGCGUAUAUUAAAAUUGUUGCAGUUAAAAAGCUCGUAGUUGAAUUUCUGCUGCAUUUCAUUUCUCUUUCUGAGUUUGUUUUUGCGGCUUAUUUCGGUUUGAUUUUUUCUUUCCGGAUGAUUACUUUGAGAAAAUUAGAGUGCUCAAAGCAGGCUUUUGCCUUGAAUAGUUUAGCAUGGAAUAAUAAAGUAGGACUUUGGUUCUAUUUUGUUGGUUUUAGGUACCAAAGUAAUGGUUAAUAGGAACAGUUGGGGGCAUUCGUAUUUAACUGUCAGAGGUGAAAUUCUUAGAUUUGUUAAAGACGAACUACUGCGAAAGCAUUUGCCAAGGAUGUUUUCAUUAAUCAAGAACGAAAGUUAGGGGAUCGAAGACGAUCAGAUACCGUCGUAGUCCUAACCAUAAACUAUGCCGACUAGAGAUUGGAGGUCGUCAGUUUUUACGACUCCUUCAGCACCUUGAGAGAAAUCAAAGUCUUUGG
rnacentral:rRNA from 1 species